UACGGAGGGGGCAAGCGUUAUUCGGAAUUAUUGGGCGUAAAGGGCGCGUAGGCGGCUAGAUGUGUCAAAGGUGAAAUCCCUCGGCUCAACUGAGGAACUGCCUUUGAAACUGUCUGGCUUGAGGCCGGGAGAGGGUAGCGGAAUUCCCAGUGUAGCGGUGAAAUGCGUAGAUAUGCGGAGGAACACCGAUGGCGAAGGCAAUCCCCUGGACCUGUACUGACGCUCAUGCACGAAAGCGUGGGGAGCAAACAGG
rnacentral:rRNA from 1 species